rnacentral:tRNA from 1 species
UCCCUGGUGGCUCAGAUGGUAAAGCGUCUGCCUGCAAUGCGGGAGACUCGGGUUCAAUCCCUGGGUUGGGAA